CCACUCUGGAAAACAAGGGGAGAAAGGGAGAUACUUACAGGACUGCACAUUGCUGUGGAAGAGAACGUCAGCAACAUCCUGCCAGCGGAGAGCAUGGGGACAAAACAUACGGGUGAAUAACAGGUGAAUGACUCCCUGUGGGUCUAGGACUAGGUGUACUCCUGAUCUUGUGUCAGAGCAGAAAUGGCACAUGACAGUGAGAAAUGAGCUACCAAAAUGUGGUCCCUUCUGGCAGCAUCCCUGGCAGGCUGAGAGGCGAGCAGCACAGAAGCAGGAGCCCUGGCUCCCCGGCCAGAAACCCUUCACCCCACAGCAGACCUGCGCCAAUGCCACAGGACGCGCUCCAUUAGCGUUUGGCCCUCAUCAAAGACUCAUUCUUCUCGGCCAUGUUCAUGCCCUGCUUGUGUGUUUGUUUCCCAGCCACAUUCUGGUUUUAAUGGGACAAGAGAUGGUGAAAAGCAGGCUAUAAAUAGCCCAGCGAACGAGCCAGGCCUGCCCCUUCGCAGCGAGGCCUACGCGCGCAAUUAUUCUUUUGAAUGUGCCGAAUGAACAUCCCAUUCAGGCACCACAGCCAGCCAGGAAACCUAACAACCACUUUUUCCCUCCCCCAUUGAAGCCUCAGAUGAUGUGUGCCAGGCCCCAAAAGAGAGCAGCUGAAAAACACCCUACAAGUGAAAGCACGCAGGAGCUGGCCCACAAAAACCAGGAUGGGGCUUAAAGGGGAAGGGCAGGGAGAAAAGGUUUCUCAAACUUUGCUGCUGGAAAAUGUGGUGGGAGCAAGGCUCAGCCUGUGCCAGGCAGUACCCACAGCCACACAGGAGUUCCACAGACUAAGGGAAUGAUCAGUGAACACAUCUGGACCAAGAAAUUACAAGACUCUGAACAUACAGGAGGCCUGGAGUUGGUUUUAAGUCAGAGAAAUGCAGCAACCUAUCUCAAAGCAAGACUGCAGGUGGGGAAAAGACUUGGUGGUUAUUCAACCACCUAAGAAACAGGGCAAAAAGCAAAUAAAGACAUUUGUUUGGGGCUGCAGUGGGAAAGAGUUUAUCCCCACUUCAGAGAAAAAAAAAGCAGCAGACCACUAUAUCCAAGCAGAAGUCCAGCAUUCACUGAAGUCUCCUGGUAUACUAUUAUUUGAGAUGAAGAAGUAUUGACACAAGGAUUGCAAUGUGCAUGAAGAAUCUGGAAAAACAGUGCAUCCCUCACCUGUGUUGCUAAGCUGAAAAGUCAAGGAAAAAUGUUUCGCUUGGACCAUUCAAAAUAGAAUUUUUCCUAGUUCUUAAUACAAUGCAAAAAUAAGAAGUGUCAUUUUUGAUCCAUCCACAGCGUUCUGUUUGAACAGAAGUAUGAAUCUUUACUUUGCUGGAGUUUUCCUUAACUCUUAUACAAACAAUUCCCCUUUUGAAAAAUGCCAUUUUAAAUCUAGAAUUUAAAAUUUCCUUUGAAAAAUGUCAGUCAAAGAUCUGGCAUCUACAAAUCAACACUUCAGAAGUGCGAAGUGAAUUUUUUUCUUUUUUUUUAUCCUUUAUUUCUUUUUUGGCUGACACACAUAAAUUUCAUUUAAAUUUGCAUUUAAUUUUGGUUCUUGUGGAAUAAUGUGUUGGGGUUGAACUUACUAUAUGCUGAGAAAAAUUCAGCUAACAAGUAAGGAAAGGGCAGAAGUAUUCAUGAAUGGGAAAGCAAGAGCUGAGAGAUUACUGACCCAGUCCCUCAAGUUCUGCUUCUAGCAUCUGUUUUGCUUAAAAUUUUCAUAAAUUACCUUGACACAGAAAAUAAGAAUGUGCUAAAAUAUCAUGACAGUAAGCAGUAGGGAUGUAUUGUCACUAAAGACUGGGACAAGUUAUACAAAGGGCCAGCUGUCCUUGGGACUAAAAUAGGAAAUAUGAAAUGCAGUAUUAUCCUGAAUUUCAAAGUAUGCAGCAAUACUUUCAGUGUCACAGGUUCAAAGAUAAGAACAAUUACUGUUCUGAACAGGACUUCACUGGUUGAGAAGAACUGAACAAGAGAAAUGAUCAAGUAUACACAGCAUUACUGUCACCACUCACACAAUACAGCCACCAAAAAUGGCACAUGCAAUCCUAGGCCAAACAAGAGAAGAAUUUCCAGCAGUAUUAAGAAAAUAUCAAUGCCAUCACACAAGGCCUCCUCUGCACUUGACUUCAUCUGAAUGUUAUACAGCUGAUGUUAUACAGCUGAUGUUAUACAGCUCUGGUCAUCUGUGCAGCAGAAAAGACAAAUUUAGGCUGAAGCCAGUGGAGAGCAUGGAUUUUUUUGAGGGAUGAAGGGACUCUGGAGCCUGCCUGGCAGCAGGGGAGCUGAAGCCUGCUGAGUUACUCUGUUAAACAGAAGGCUGAUGGAAGAUGUAGCUCCUGCCUGUAAAUAUGGUAGGAGGAUAAAUGCAGCAGGAAAAGCAGGUAAAACACACAUACAAGUGAAACAUACACCACAUAAAGAUGCUGCAGAAGGAUAAACAGACAAGAUGACAGAGGAAUGGAUGAUUAAGGGUGAAAUGACUGAAUACCUGGCAUAAUCUCCACAGCAAAACUGGGCAAGAGAUCAGCAAGCAGCCCUGUCCUGCCUAGAAAAGACAGAAGGAGGAGAAGAAGGAGAGAGGUUACUGCAAGAAAAACACACUCCCCAGCCCCUGCCUUAGCCUCCAGCUCCCUUCCUCAUCAGCCCACUUGCACUCUGCGUUAUGUGAAUUCCUAUCAAGCACAGAUGUCAUCCUGCUCGAUGCCUGGUGUCUGCCUCUGCACUUCUGCCAUUUCUGUGUCCUUGCAUUUUAUCUUUAUCAGCGGAGCUGGGGGGAAAGAAUCUGGAACAGAGUUUCUCCAAUCUAGGCACAAAAUGACAAGAAAAAGGAGUCCCUUUUAGCAUGGUUACAUGGUAACAUCUUCCUGGAGUUAUGCUCUACACAUGCAAAAGCUCCUGGAAAUGCACAACAGCCCUUAAACAAAAGGACACAGUUUUAUUUUUGAAACGUACUGAUGUAGUUUCUACGGAUAUGAAACAUCUUUAACUUAACUCAAGGCUAUUGAUAAAUCAGCCACGUGCUUCUAAAACCCGUGGAUGCUGCUCUCCAUGUGGGCUCUGUGAGUGCACCAACAACUCCAGGAAAAGAGCCUUGAAGGAAUGCUGUGCAUAUGUGCAAAUUAUUUGGAGAUGCACGAGCACCUUGGUCAGACUGUGUGACAAAGGCCAACACCCAAUGGAAGCAAACCAGCCAGGGAAGGAUUCAUGUAGAAAUUUGUGGGAUCAUUUUGCAAAAGAAUAAACAAACAAAACAAAUAAAAAAAAGGCAAGUCAACUUCAAAUUUAUAAUUUACAACCAAAUAGAAACAAACAAACUCCAAGCCCAAAGGCAGCUUGCUGCCUGUUUGUUUUGGCACAGAACGUCUGGGAUAUUUCCAGUACACAGCAAACAUCCUGCACAGUGCUCAGCUGUAAUUUACACACACCUGUGCAUUGGCAGAGCAGCCCUAAGUGCAGCUGGGCUGUGAACUCUCCCAUAGAGCCCCAGGGUCAUGCUGGGAUUUUAAAAGACAUGCAUAUGGCAGGAGAGCUGCACUCUGAAGAGAGACACACAUUGUGGGCAUUACAACAGGAGCAGCUAAGGGUAAGCCAAUGCAAAAGUGGCAGAAAGCUACCUUUAACCUCCCCACAUGCCCUCCAGGUCCUGCACUAGGCAGCACUCAGACACAGUGAUGAACUGGAUCCCAAGUUCCUCGGCCUCUAGUCUGUCCUUGAAGGUUAUUACAAUCAAAUUCCCACCAUCCGUUUUUCCUCAGUGCUUCAACAGAGACUCUGUAGAGAUCAAAAGUCCACAAGGAAGCCUGCUGGAGCCAUAAUGAGUAUACCAUGACUACAGGCAGAGCUUUGCAGCCAGUUGCAACUCAUCAGAGCUGACUAGUACUCACUGGAAUGCCCAUCCUGAUGAAGUGGUCCAGAAUCCUUAGCAAAAGAUAGCAUGGUGAUGCUUCACAUAACUGCUCCCCAUUUACCACUUUGAGGGAGGACUCUUGCCACCAGUCUGCUGCAACAUUUUCAUCUACAUUUACAAAGAGUUUCACGACAUUCUUUGCAGUCCAUUUCCUGGAAGGAUCAAGUGUCCAAGCCACUCACAACUACAGUGUUAUGUUCCACGUGCAUAUUAAUCAUAUUCCUUAUUUUGAUGAAACAAUAUGCAAUUCUUUUGCAGGCCUUUUGUGCAUAUGUGAACAGCACCCACAUGAACCACAUGCAUGCAGAAUAUGGGCAGACACGAGCAUGUAGCUCACCUCCCAUGUGUUAUUACCUCUGCACAAGCUCACAUGCAGCCCUAGUGUGAGAGCAGAUGCCACUGGACAAAUUGCUGGAGGUACACAGCUAAUUUAGGGCAUCUGUGGUAAAAAAGGGCAAGGAAGUGACACCUUUAAACAGCAGAAACUCUUUCUCAAAUGGUCGUUGACUUUAUUUGGAACCUACCUGGAGAGCCUCGAACCCUGCUAGUGCUGGGUACUUUCUGAUCUCCAAGAGGAAUCACAUGUCCAACAGGGAAUAAGCACCCCUUAAUAUAACAGUGCCUGAGAACUUGGUAAAAACAAAGACAGCCAAAGCAGCUCCUCUCUGCUACCAACGAGCAGCCAGCACUUCCCUGCUCAUGCAGUCUCACUUGGCUUGUAAGAGUAUCUGCCUGGGGAAUUUACAUCCCUGCCCUGCCAACAGGACUCACACAGCCCUGGGGGCCCCAGAGCCCCCAGCAGGGAUGCACAAAGCCUGAGAGGAUCCCUGUGGUGGGAUUUUGAGCAGCAAAUCCCACCACAGCUCAGCCUGAACUCUGCCUGGCAGCCAGCGAGCACAAUGCCCACCCCUGGACUGCCGUGGCCCCAGCAGCUUUCCACAGCUCAGCCCCCUCCCCGCCCCAGGCUGGAUAAAUCCCCUGAUUAACCCUUCCCCACACCAUUCCUCAGGGAAGCCAGCAGGCUGAGGCUGCCUGUGGUUGCCCCAGCAACAGGAGGCUCCCACCACUGUCCCUCAUUGAAGGUGACUUUCUCCCCUCUGCUGCUGCUGCCAGCAACAAGUGGAGCAAAAAUCCCCCCAUCCUGCCAGCCAGCACAGGGACAAAGGGACAGGGUGGCUCAGGGGUGGGGGCAGCACUGCUACGGGGUCUCACCUUCUGCCCUCUGUAAGCCCGGCCCAAACAUGGGCACAGCCCAGAGCCAGGUGGUGGCCACAGAAAGGAUCCUGGGGCAGCAGCCCGGUGGGUCACACACUGCCCAAGGCAGAGAGCAGGGCGUCCUUUUGGACCCAUGGCUGUAGGAGAAGGCAGCGGACAGUCAGAGCACCCAUCUCUCCAUGAUGCUCCUUCCAUGGGCUUUAAGCUUACCUCCUUCCCUCUCAUUUCUUUCAAGGAAGUUUUAAAGUAGAUGCUGGGGCUAGAUAGCAAUUGGUGGGGAAGAAACAAUUCAAUAAAACAUCCUGCCAAGAGACCAUCUGGCCACACCACCUCUGCACAGCAGCUCUGCCCACCUGAGAAAGGGCUGCAGGCACUCCAAGCCAUGGCUGAGCACCACUGCUGAGUCACAGAUCUGUGUCCCCACCCCCAAGAGCUUUGUGUCCUCUGUGCAAGCUCCCACCACCGAGGGGAUAGAGGGAAUAGACAAUGGCCCCGUUUCCCAGGGUUGUCCUGGGUGACUGUGUCAGAGCUAGGAGCUUGUCCUCAUUCUGCAAGGAUCUGGGAUGUGUGCCAUCUCUAUUCCCCCCGUGCUGCUGAAGGGUUUUACCUGCCCAUAGUGGCCUCUCACCAGGCACCUCACACGCCCCAGGCCCCUGCCAGCCUUGAAAUGCAACGGAGCUUGCAAGCACCCCAUCUGCACUGGCAGAGCACAGGAGGAGGGAUGGGAGAGGAAAAGCUGAGGGGAUGCAGAGCAGCUCCAAGAGGUGCAGACACACAGCAGAGGCCAGCGAGGACAGGAGUUAAUACACAGGAGGCAGGCAGGCAGGCGACAGAGCAGUGAGCAAAUAGCAGCGGAGCAGGGAAGACCUGGAGUCAAGCACACAAUUAGCAGAGAGUCUGCAGAGAAGAGACACAAAAAUAAUUAGGGUAAGUGGUGCAGCUGAAAAGAAAUUAUGGCAUGAAUAAAGUAGGCGCAGGUGCAGUCAGAAACACGGCAAUUGGGUAAAUAUGGGAACAUGGCAAAUACUGGCAGUCACAUAAAUGUGAUAAAUAUUGGGUAACUAUGGCAGUAACUGCUGAACUGUUUUCCUGUUUGAAGGCUGCUUCCACAGCCCAACCUGCUGCAGUGGGAUUACAGGACGCAGCAAAUACAGAGGGAAUUAUUUCCUUCUCAGUGGAGGAAAACUUUGCCAAGCCAUGCCACAGCAAGAGGCCCUGGCAAGGGACACUGGCCUGAGGAGAGGCUGGAAAGCACAGGAGAGGAAGUGUGGCCCUUGUAAAUCAGACACUUUACCAAGGCAGCUGCUGUGAGAUUUAUUGGGGGAGCAUGGCUCUGCAGUGUUUCUCUAUGCUUCUUCCGCUUGGAGUAAACUUUAUCCUUUCUUCCCGUCCUUCCAAUUGGACGGAGAAACAGCAGCAGCCCCUUUUGGAGAUCAAAGUUUUAGCAGGCAACAAAGACCUCCGAGGAGGCUGUUGCCAUGGCUGCCUUAGUAACCGCGCUCUUUUAAUCACACCGGUCUGCUUUGUGAGCAGCAGCGUGUGGCUGUCGCUGGCAAAUAAGGAGGAAAACAGGGGUAAAAAACCUUGGCAACAAGUAGCACUUCUAAUCGGUGUGAAAUAAAUAACCAGGAGUAGGCUGGGCUAGGAUGAGGGGCACUGGAAGCAGGUGACAAAGGUGGCAGCGCAGUGGUCUGGGGCAAUGCAUCAACACUUUUCCAGGAUUUUUAAGAGGAAGUGUGCCAAUCACUUCCUUCGCCUGCUGGCACUACCCACCUCUGGUCACAGCUCAAGGCUGGUGAGGCCUCUCCAUGGAGCUGCUGACAGACAUUUUCCCAGCUGAGAUGUGGGCCAACAUCACAUCCCCAACACAAGGCCACCAGCACAACUCUGCCAACUCCUGUGACCGAGCACUGGCUCGGGUGCUACUGGCAGCUUUUCAGCAAAUCAGAGCAAAAUCCUAAAACCAACAUCAUCUAAGGGAAAAUUCUGCCAAGAACUUUUCAAUCUCCGAAAUCAUGUCAAAUUUUAUUAUACAGUCUCUCCUGGCAUAGAAGAGACUCCAAACCUGGCUAUAUUUAUACCAGCUAUUGAGUCACUUUGCUGAGUAAGAACUGCCUUAUUAGCAUUGCACACCACACACACGUGUCCCAGUGGAGAUUUAUCCUCACUGAAAGUCAACACAUGUCUCUAUUAGUACAUUAAUUACUGUACAAUAUGCUGUGUGUAUAUGUAUCUACAUUCUUUACUUUACAUUCUUUACUACUACUACUACUACUAUGGGUGUGAGACUUUUUAAAUUUUGGGUUUAGGCCUAUAUGGAUACUGGCUGGUUAUAUAAACUGCAGAAGAUGUCAGUUUACCAGUGUUAGUUGCCACUGUCUCCAGAAAUUAACACAAACCUCAAGUGCUAAUUGUUGUUAUUUGAAGCAUAGCAAUGGGAGAAGCUUCAGCUUCUUCCUUGGGGAAUUUCAGGUCUGUCAGACUGACCUUGGUGCUCGGGAAGGUUAUGGAAUACAUGAUCCUGAGUGGAAUCACACUAUACAUAUAGGACAACCAGAGGAUCAGGAGGAUCCAGCAUGGGUUUAGGAAAGGCAAGUCCUCCGUGACCAAGCUGAUCCUUUUAUGAUGAGGUGACCCACCCAGAGGAUGAGAGAAAGACUGUGGAUGUGUCUUCCUGGACUUAAUAAAGCCUUUGGGAGUGUCUCCCACAGCAUUUUCCUGGAAAAGCUGACAGUGCCACAGGCUGGGGAAGAGUGGCUGGAAAAUUGUGCAAUGAAAAAGCACCUGGGGUGCUGGAUAACAGCAGCUGAAUGUCAGCCAGAGUGUGUCCAGAUGGGCAAGGAGGCCAGUGGCAUCCUGGUUUGGAUCAGGAAGAGUGUGGCCAGCAGGAGCAGGGCAGGGAUUGUCCUCCUGUACUCAGCACUGGUGAGGCCCCUCAAGUCUCAUGUUUAUGUUUGGGCCCCUCACUCUGAGAAAGGCAUUGAGGGGCUGGAGUGAGUCCAGAGGAGGGAAUGGAGCUGGGGAAGGAUCUGGAGCACAAGUCUGAUCAGGAGUGGCUGAGGGUGUUUAACCUGGAGAAAAGGAGGCUCAGGGGGGACCUCACCACUCUCUACAAUGGCCUGAAAGGAGGGUGUGGAAAGAUGGGUCGACCUCCACUCCCAGGGAAGAAGUGACAGAAUGAGAGGAAAUGGCAUCAAGCUGUGCCAGGACAGCUUCAGGUUGGACAUCAGGAAGAAUUUUGUCACUGAAAGGGUAGUUAAGCACUGGAAUGGGCUGCCCAGGGAAGUGGUGGAGUCAUCAUCCCUGGAAAUGUUCAAGAAACAACUGGACGUGGCAUUCAGUGCUAUGGUUUUAGUUGAGAUGGUGGUCUUCAAUCAAAGGUUGAACUCCAUGAUCUUGAAGGUCUUCUCCAAUCUUAAUGAUUCUAUGAUUAACCAUAAAAUAAUAUUUCACUGAUACACAGUUUAUGUAAAAUUGGCUGCUGAAUUGGAUGGAAAAGAAAGCUGGCAAUAUCUGUCUAGCAAAGUGCACAGAUCACUAACCAAAGCAUCAAACCAACAGCUGGAAUUAGUGGAGUACUUUCUGGCCUCUUCCAGAAACUCGACAGGUCUCAGGGAAUGGAGCCACUGUUUUGUGAAGCGUGUCUAAGCUAUGUAAAACCUCAGAAUGCAAACAUCACUGAGCUUGCACAGGUCUAUGCAUUCCAGGGUGCCCAGCUGUGCCCAGUGCUGAACUCUGUGUUCAGGCACUGCUCUGUAGCUGUUCCAGCUUGGGAAUGGAGCAGUGUAGCAGCUUCAUAGGUCCCUGCACCUGGUUAGUAAAUUCUGGCUGUUGGGAAGGCUUAUUGGGUUCUAUGCAAUGAAGCUGGACUGCUUCCUGAUGUGAGCUGGUGACACAAAGCUAGGAUGACACUGACACUGCACUCUACUUCUGGUUUGAAGGUUACUCCAGGCAUGCUACAUCCCUGCACUGGUACACAUGCAGCUCCCUUCAGAAAGGCUGCAAUGAAUUACUUUACUGAAGCCCAUUGACAUUCUCAUAUAAAAAAGAAAUACACAGGGGCUACAAAUAACAAUAUGAUUAAUAGCACUGUCUCUGUUUCAAGAAGCAGGACAUUAGCUGCCAGCUACUACAACAGAAAUGUAGACUUUCUUCAAUUUAGGAUUCAGCCUUUUAGGUUCAAUCACAUUAAAAAGUUUAAAAUUAAAAUGUACAAAAUUUCAAAGGGAUUCAUUAGCCCAGCUGUAAUGUCAGCAAAGGUUCUCCUUUUCUAAUAAGACACACGAGUGCAGGGAGUAUCACUUGAUUCCUGAUGUGGAAUUGCUAAGUUCUGGACUAGUCUGCAGCAGAAGCAGAGUUCACACAGUUUCCAGCACACUACAUCCUGUUUGGAGAUUCCAAAUGCCAUCAAAAUGCACAUAUAUCAGAGACUCAGAGAGUCUUUUAGGUUGGAAAAGACCUCUGAGAUCUUCGAGCCCAGCCUGUGAACAAACACCACCAGACCAUGGAACUGAGUGCCAAAUCCAGUCUUUCCUUAAACACCUUCCUGGGCAGCCCAUUCCAAUGUUUAACCAACCUUUCUGUGAAGAAAUUCCUUCUGAUGUCCAAUCUGAGACAGAGGUUGCUACUCCUCCUCCCUCACCUGCACUGAUUCCCUUAGAGAGGGUUAAAGUCCCUGACUAAGCAAAAGCUACUGAAUGGUCUUUUCAGCAAAGUACAUAAUAAGCACAUGCCUAACAUUAGGUAUGCUUUACAAAUCCUAUCAGCUUUGCUGAGCACAAAUGGAUAUAAAUAAAUGCUUGUAUGCUUUUCUGAAAUAGCUGUGACAUGAGGACAGCACAUGGGAUCCUCUGAUGCUACCCAGAGCUGACCAGCAGCUCUGUGUGUCAACAUGGCACAUCCAGGUAACAAAACCCAACAUGCAAUCCCAUCAUGAUCCAGGCUCCCUGGCUGCUUAAGAGGUCACUGAAGAUCUCUGUGAUCGCUUUCCUAAGGAAAAAAUAAAUACUGUAAUUUGCCCAGGUUUUA